ACGCGUGGAACCUUACCAGGUCUUGACAUCCUCUGACACUCCUAGAGAUAGGACGUUCCCCUUCGGGGGACAGAGUGACAGGUGGUGCAUGGUUGUCGUCAGCUCGUGUCGUGAGAUGUUGGGUUAAGUCCCGCAACGAGCGCAACCCUUGAUCUUAGUUGCCAGCAUUUAGUUGGGCACUCUAAGGUGACUGCCGGUGACAAACCGGAGGAAGGUGGGGAUGACGUCAAAUCAUCAUGCCCCUUAUGACCUGGGCUACACACGUGCUACAAUGGAUGGUACAAAGGGCUGCAAGACCGCGAGGUUUAGCCAAUCCCAUAAAACCAUUCUCAGUUCGGAUUGCAGGCUGCAACUCGCCUGCAUGAAGCUGGAAUCGCUAGUAAUCGCGGAUCAGCAUGCCGCGGUGAAUACGUUCCCGGGCCUUGCACACACCGCCCGU
rnacentral:rRNA from 1 species